CGACCGGGUGAGUAACACGUGACUAACCUGCCCUAGAGUGGGGGAUAACCUCGGGAAACCGGGGCUAAUACCGCAUAACAUCACCGGGGGAAGAUCCUGGUGAUCAAAGGAGCAAUUCGCUCAAGGAGGGGGUCGCGGCUGAUUAGCUAGUUGGUGGGGUAACGGCCCACCAAGGCGAAGAUCAGUAGCCGGCCUGAGAGGGCGCACGGCCACACUGGAACUGAAACACGGUCCAGACUCCUACGGGAGGCAGCAGUGGGGAAUUUUGCGCAAUGGGGGAAACCCUGACGCAGCAACGCCGCGUGGAGGAUGAAGUCCCUUGGGAUGUAAACUCCUUUCGAUCGGGACGAUUAUGACGGUACCGGAAGAAGAAGCACCGGCUAACUCUGUGCCAGCCGCCGCGG
rnacentral:rRNA from 1 species